rnacentral:rRNA from 1 species
GGCUCACACGUGCUACAAUGGGUAGUACAGAGAGUCGCAAAGCCGCGAGGUGGAGCUAAUCUCAGAAAACUAUUCUUAGUUCGGAUUGUACUCUGCAACUCGAGUACAUGAAGUUGGAAUCGCUAGUAAUCGCGAAUCAGCAAUGUCGCGGUGAAUACGUUCUCGGGUCUUGUACACACCGCCCGUCACACCACGAGAGUUGGUUGCACCUGAAGUAGCAGGCCUAACCGUAAGGAGGGAUGCUCCGAGGGUGUGAUUAGCGAUUGGGGUGAAGUCGUAACAAGGUAUCCGUACGGGAACGU